AGCGAUAGGCAUAGAGGAAGGUAGAUGAAGCCCCGCGCUCCCCAGAGCCCAGCCCUGGUCACCGCGUGCUGUGUGGGUGCCUGUGCCAGGAUCAGCUGGCUGGACGGCUAUGGCCCCACACCUGCAGGCCACGUACCUGGGAGAGUGUGGGCCUUCAGAGCCUUCUGGCUCCCAGCCCCACAGAGGAAUUACGGUCCCGUGUCCCUCACAAGGACCCUUGCAGUGGGAGCAGUGCAUCGGCACAGAGCAGGACACAGGGGAGCCGGGCUGAGGCUGCGGGUCCUUUGUGGCCGCCAGGUGCUCACACGUGCCUCGGUGGGGAUCUGGCAGCCAGAUUUGGGCUGCGGCGAGUCCUUUGCACAUGUUGGCAACACACGCGUCCGCAUCGGCCUCCCUGCCCACAAAGCGCCACAAUGGUGACCAGCCGGAGCAGCCGGAGCUGAAGCGGAUCAAGACAGAAGACGGCGAGAGCAUUGUCAUUGCCCUGAGUGUGGACACGCCACCGGCAGCCGUAAGGGAAAAGGGUGUCCAGAACUAGCGACUGGGAGAGCUUUUCUUUAACAAUAUCA
rnacentral:sRNA from 1 species